rnacentral:rRNA from 1 species
GACGAACGCUGGCGGCGUGCUUAACACAUGCAAGUCGAACGAUGAAGUUCCUUCGGGAAUGGAUUAGUGGCGAACGGGUGAGGAACACGUGAGAAACCUGCCUUUCAUUUUGGGAUAACACCGGGAAACCGGUGCUAAUACUGAAUACUCCGUCUUGGCGGCAUCGCUAAGCCGGGAAAGAAUUUCGAUGAAAGAUGGUCUCGCGGCCCAUCGGCUAGGUGGUGAGGUAAUGGCUCACCAAGGCGACGACGGGUAGCCGGCCUGAGAGGGCGACCGGCCACACUGGGACUGAGACACGGCCCAGACUCCUACGGGAGGCAGCAGUGGGGAAUAUUGGGCAAUGGGCGCAAGCCUGACCCAGCGACGCCGCGUGAGGGAAGAGGCCUUCGGGUUGUAAACCUCUUUCAGCAGGGAAGAAGCGAAAGUGACGGUACCUGAAGAAGAAGCACCGGCUAACUGUGUGCCAGCAGCCGCCGUAA